rnacentral:siRNA from 1 species
AAGGCCCACCUAUUUAGGCGGGUA